rnacentral:rRNA from 1 species
UACAGAGGGUGCAAGCGUUGCUCGGAAUCAUUGGGCGUAAAGGGCAAGUAGGUGGUCUCAUUUGUCUUGUGUGAAAGCCUUGGGCUUAACCCAAGAAGUGCGCAAGAAACGGUGAGACUCGAGUACUGGAGAGGGUCGUGGAAUUCCCGGUGUAGCGGUGAAAUGCGUAGAGAUCGGGAGGAACACCAGAGGCGAAGGCGGCGACCUGGACAGUUACUGACACUCAACUGCGAAAGCGUGGGGAGCAAACAGG